UACGAAGGGGCUAGCGUUGCUCGGAAUCACUGGGCGUAAAGCGCACGUAGGCGGAUUGUUAAGUCAGGGGUGAAAUCCUGGAGCUCAACUCCAGAACUGCCUUUGAUACUGGCGAUCUCGAGUUCGGGAGAGGUGAGUGGAACUGCGAGUGUAGAGGUGAAAUUCGUAGAUAUUCGCAAGAACACCAGUGGCGAAGGCGGCUCACUGGCCCGAUACUGACGCUGAGGCACGAAAGCGUGGGGAGCAACA
rnacentral:rRNA from 1 species